rnacentral:misc_RNA from 1 species
GUAUAUGUUUUAUAGGCACAACAUUCUAUCGACAUACAUUGGGGUAAAUGAAACGACAUAGACCUGAAAAGGUCUACAAAAGGUGCACAGGUGGAGAUAUAAAAAUGACAAGGCGUGCACAUGCUCCCUAGAGAACCAGCAACAACCCAUCAGGUUUAUUUCAAUAAUGAUCCUUCCGCAGGUUCACCUACGGAAA